UACGGGGGGGGCAAGCGUUGUUCGGAAUUACUGGGCGUAAAGGGCUCGUAGGCGGCCAACUAAGUCAGACGUGAAAUCCCCAGGCUCAACCUGGGAACUGCGUCUGAUACUGGAUGGCUUGAAUCCGGGAGAGGGAUGCAGAAUUCCAGGUGUAGCGGUGAAAUGCGUAGAUAUCGGGAGGAACACCCGUAGCGAAGGCGGCACUCUGGGCCGUGACUGACGCUGAGGAGCGAAAGCGUGGGGAGCAAACAGG
rnacentral:rRNA from 1 species